rnacentral:lncRNA from 1 species
GGUUCUGAUAGCACAGCAGCACUCAGCAGGCUCAUCGCUUUCUCUGACCUACAGUACUGACAUCCAAACUGAAAGGACUACGUUUAAGUGUCAAAGAGAUUCCGAGCCAUCUGCUGCCUCACCAGCUGCUCUCGGUGCAGGAUGAAACUUAUCUCAAUUCAGGAACCUGGGCCUCAGGCAGAGGGGUGGAAGGAAAUCGCUGACCUCACAAGCGCUGUCUGCAGGAUGCGCGCCCAGACUGGCUUCUGCGAUGUCCUUCCUUCAACAAACCAUGCACUGGGGCACCCAGACUGCAAUGAGUAGCAGCCUUGCUGGUGGAAAGAAGAUGCUGUCUGGAUCCCAUGGAAAGCAAGGAAGCUCCCCGGCUGUGGCUGUUGUGCAUGUUGAGGAGAUGCAUCACUGAAGGAUUAAAAUACAACUGCUGUGAGCUGGGAAGCAAAGCAGGCCAGGACUAGAAGCUGCCGUGGAAGGAGAGGUAGGACAUUAAUGGAUGCUGUACAUGCAAUGGGACUGGUUAGAAUGCACAG